AGUGAACGCUGGCGGUAGGCCUAACACAUGCAAGUCGAACGGCAGCACAGUAAGAGCUUGCUCUUACGGGUGGCGAGUGGCGGACGGGUGAGGAAUACAUCGGAAUCUACUUUUUCGUGGGGGAUAACGUAGGGAAACUUACGCUAAUACCGCAUACGACCUACGGGUGAAAGCAGGGGAUCUUCGUACCUUGCGCGAUUGAAUGAGCCGAUGUCGGAUUAGCUAGUUGGCGGGGUAAAGGCCCAACAAGGCGACGAUCCGUAGCUGGUCUGAGAGGAUGAUCAGCCACACUGGAACUGAGACACGGUCCAGACUCCUACGGGAGGCAGCAGUGGGGAAUAUUGGACAAUGGGCGCAAGCCUGAUCCAGCCAUACCGCGUGGGUGAAGAAGGCCUUCGGGUUGUAAAGCCCUUUUGUUGGGAAAGAAAAGCAGCAGGUUAAUACCCCGCUGUUCUGACGGUACCCAAAGAAUAAGCACCGGCUAACUUCGUG
rnacentral:rRNA from 1 species